rnacentral:rRNA from 1 species
GGAGGAAAGCAGGGGAUCGCAAGACCUUGCGCUCUUGGAGCGGCCGAUGCCUGAUUAGCUAGUUGGUGAGGUAAAGGCUUACCAAGGCGACGAUCAGUAGCUGGUCUGAGAGGACGACCAGCCACACUGGGACUGAGACACGGCCCAGACUCCUACGGGAGGCAGCAGUGGGGAAUUUUGGACAAUGGGGGAAACCCUGAUCCAGCCAUGCCGCGUGAGUGAAGAAGGCCUUCGGGUUGUAAAGCUCUUUCAGCCGGAACGAAACGGUCACGGCUAAUACCUGUGACUACUGACGGUACCGGAAGAAGAAGCACCGGCUAACUACGUGCCAGCAGCCGCGGUAAUACGUAGGGUGCAAGCGUUAAUCGGAAUUACUGGGCGUAAAGCGUGCGCAGGCGGUUUUGUAAGUCAGAUGUGAAAUCCCCGGGCUUAACCUGGGAACUGCGUUUGAAACUACAAGGCUAG